UACGAAGGGGGCUAGCGUUGUUCGGAAUUACUGGGCGUAAAGCGCGCGCAGGCGGUCUUCCAAGUCAGUGGUGAAAGCCCGGAGCUCAACUCCGGAACUGCCAUUGAAACUGUAAGACUUGAGGACGAGAGAGGUGAGUGGAAUUCCCAGUGUAGAGGUGAAAUUCGUAGAUAUUGGGAAGAACACCGGUGGCGAAGGCGGCGACCUGGUCCGUGACUGACGCUGAGGCGCGAAAGCGUGGGGAGCAAACAGG
rnacentral:rRNA from 1 species